UGACGGCAAUACCGCCGUGGAACCACCUGAUCCCAUGCCGAACUCAGAAGUGAAACGCGGUAGCGCCGAUGGUAGUGUGGCAUUCGCCAUGCGAGAGUAGGACACUGUC
rnacentral:rRNA from 1 species